ACACUGUAACGCCCUCGAUGCGGCUAUAUCUCCCACGUGUCGAAGCACGACUUAGAGGCAUAACCGCAUUGAAAGCAAUGUCGCAAGUGAGGUAAUCUUCACACAACCCAUGUAAUACAUAAGGGAAAGAGAUACAUAGUUGGCUUACAAUCGCCACUUCACACAAUUACAUGAAUAAAGCAUUACAUCAUCUAGAUACAAUCAAGGUCCGACUACGGAACCAAAAUAAAAGAAGAACCCCAAUUGCGACAAAGGUCCCCAAUCGACCCCAACUGGGCUCCACUACUGAUCAACUGAAACGAAACAACACAAUGAACAAGAUCUUCAUCGAGCUCCUCCUUGAGCUUGGUUGCGUCACCUGCUCGGUAACAUAGGCACCUGCAAACUGGUUUUGGAAGUAUCUGUGAGCCACGGGGACUCAGCAAUCUCGCACCCGCGAGAUCAAGACUAUUUAAGCUUAUGGGUAAGGUAAAGGCAUGAGGUGGAGCUGCAGCAAGCGACUAGCAUAUAUGGUGGUUAACAUACGCAAAUGAGAGCGAGAAGAGAAGGCAAAGCACGGUCGAUAAAAGUAUGAUCAAGAAGUGAUCCUGUAGCAACCUACGUCAAGAAUAACUCCAACACCGUGUUCACUUCCCGGACUCCGCCGGAAAGAGACCAUCAUGGUUACACACACGGUUGAUGUAUUUUAAUUAAGGUCAACUUCGGGUUUUCUACAACCGGACAUUAACAAAUUCCCAUCUGCCACAUAACCGUGGGCACGGCUCUCGAAAGUUUAUACCCUGCAGGGGUGUCCCAACUUAGCCCAUGACAAGCUCUCGCGAUCAACGAAGGAAUAGACCUUCUCCCAGGAAGACCCGAUCAGGCUCGGAAUCUCGGUACAUCAAGACAUUUCGACAAUGGUAAAACAAGACCAGCAAGACCUCCCGCUGUGCCGACAAAUCCCGAUAGGAGCUGCACAUAUCUCGUUCUCAGGGCACACCGGAUGAGCCAGACGUCGGGUUGGCAUAGACCCUGGUUGCCCAGGGGGCGCCGGACAUCGCUCAGGUUGGACCAACACNNNNNNNNNNNNNNNNNNNNNNNNNNNNNNNNNNNNNNNNNNNNNNNNNNNNNNNNNNNNNNNNNNNNNNNNNNNNNNNNNNNNNNNNNNNNNNNNNNNNNNNNNNNNNNNNNNNNNNNNNNNNNNNNNNNNNNNNNNNNNNNNNNNNNNNNNNNNNNNNNNNNNNNNNNNNNNNNNNNNNNNNNNNNNNNNNNNNNNNNNNNNNNNNNNNNNNNNNNNNNNNNNNNNNNNNNNUAAAAUAAAGAUGACCCUUGGGCUCCGGAAACCCAAGGGAAAAAAAGGGGCUAGGUGAGACAAAUGGUAAAAUGAAGGUUGGGCCUUGCUGGACAAGUUUUAUUCAAAGCGAACUGUCAGGGGGGUCCCAUAAAUCACCCGACCGCGUAAGGAACGCAAAAUCAGGGAACAUAACACCGGUAUGAUGAAAACUAGGGCAGCAAGAGUGGAACAAAACACCAGGCAUAAGGCCGAGCCUUCCACCCUUUACCAAAUAUAUAGAUGCAUUAAUAAUAUAAGAGAUAUUGUGAUAUCCCAACAAGUAAACAUGUUCCAACAAGGAACAACAUCUCCAUGUUCCAACAAGGAACAAACUUUAAUCUUCACCUGCAACUAACAACACUAUAAGAGAGGCUGAGCAAAGCGGUAACAUAGCCAAACAACGGUUUGCUAGGAAUGGUGUCAAAGGUUAGAGGUUUGACAUGGCAAUUUGGGAGGCUGACAAGCAAAUGGUAGGCAUCGUAGCAUUGGCAUAGCAAAAGAGCGAGCAAACUAGCAUAGCAAAGAUAGUAGUGAUUUCGACGGUAUGCUCAUCUUGCCUGAGAUCCCGCAAGGAAGAAGAACGAUUCCAAGAAGAAGACAAACCGUCGUAGACGAACGAACCCUCACAACUUCGGAACGAAACCGAAGCUAACGAGAGAAGCAAACCGGAAAGAAGCAAACAAUAUGGUAAACACACAAGCAUAAACAUGUCAUGAUGCACAAACAAGUAUGAUGCAUGUCCGGUUUAAUGAGGCAUGGCAUGGCAAAGUGCACAAACAACACUACAAGUUAAGUGGAGCUCAAUAUGCAACGAGUUGCAUAUUGACGAAACACCACAUCAAUUAUUUAGUUCUCUCUCGGUUAUGAACACAACAAUAUUAAAUGUUUGUUAACAUGCAAGUGGUGAAGCAUAACAAAAACUAUACCAUCUAAACAAUUUAAAUGGGGCCGGAUAUAAAAACAACAAAUCCGAUAAAUCCCCAUAUGCAUUUAGCAAUUUAAUGCAACAACAAGUUUAAACAUUUUAAUUGUUGCUAUCAUGAUGCGGAUGACAUAUACAAGUUUUAUGCAGUUUUAUGAAUACGUUGACAUGAGCAUGUUAUGAAGCAUUUGUCGCCAUGGCGGAACAAAAGGGGUGCCACGGCGGCGAAACGAAAAGGGUGCCACGGCGACGAAACGAAAAGGGUGCCACGGCAACAUAUCCGAAAAUGAUGCCACGGCAACAUAUUGGUUCCGGUAGCUCACGGAGAUACCGGUGCGAAAGGAGGCGUGACGUGAGCGAGUCAUGCAAGAUGGUGGGGUGAUCCCGGCUACCGGGUUCCCACGUGACAGUGGCAUGGCAAAAGAGCAAGGAGCUUGCAAUGACAAUUCGGACACGGUGCACACACAAGCAUUCGUCCACGGUCGUCGUCUUGGCGGUUAUACCUUUGAAUCGUGCAUUAACGAAGCGGAUCAAGUUCGGCGAAGGAAGUAGUCGUUCUCGCGGCGGCGGUAGUGGAAGUAGUUGUACUCGGCCGUAGCGGAAGUAGACGUUCUCGCGACGGUAGUGGAAGUAGUGGUACACGGUGACGGUAGUUGUACACGUGUUGUAGUCGAACUUGACGGAGCCAACGUCCUCAAGGGUAGUCAUGGUACUUGGGGUCUUCGGACUUGCCGGUCUCGGUUUUUGCGACGGUAGUGGUACAUGGCAAUGUUGGGGUACUUGUCGGUCCGGUUUUUGCGGUGUAGAUGUACACAUUGUCGGGGUACUUGUCACAUCACCGGGUGUAAUCGUACACGGGUCCUCGUCUUCAUGGUUCUUGGCGUCCUCACGGCCUUGACAGUGAAGAAACGGAACGCGGCGACAAAACGAGGGUGAGGCAGCAGAGGGCCACGGCUGCUGGUCAACGAAAGUUGCCGGAAGAGGAAGCAAACAAGGCGGCGCGAUCUCUGGCGAAUGGCAAUGCGGCGGCCUGAGGGGUCACCAGCACAAGCGAAAUGGUAGCGGGCAACGCUGCUGUCGAGAGAUGGAGGUCGGGGCCGGAGCUGAGCAACGCCAGCAGGGGCGGAUGGGCGCGAAGAGGCCGGGAGGAGCAGCGCUCGGCACCGGUUGACGCGGAGCAGGGGAGGCGGAGCUCCUGCUCGAAGAGGUGCGACGAGGAGAACCACGGGCACGAAGGAUGGCGGCGAGGACGAUGGAUCCGGGCGGCGGCCGCGGCUCGAGAGCCUCUCCCGAUCGGGACGAGGACGGCGAGGGCCGAGCGAGUAGGCGGCGUCAUGAGGGACACUGACGGCAGGGUCGCGCGCGAGGAAGGAGAGGCCGGGGCGGCGGCCAUGGCCUCGGCGAAGGGGUCGGGUGCGGGACUCCUGUGGGGCGGCGAUGCAACAGAGCGGCAGCUCGGGAGAAGACGAGAGGGAGAGGAUGAGGGGAUCGGGAUGAGUGGCCACGGGAGCGAGGGUAGGUAACAGCGCGAGGGGAGAAGUGGGGAUCGAGGGAGAGAGAUGCGAGCGCAAAGGAGGGAGAUGGAGGCGCUGCGGGAGGGAGAUGGGAUCGAGAGGAGGGUUCGCUAGGGGGUCGACUAGGGUUAGCAGGGGGAUCGGUGGGCCUCGGUGAUGGAUGGGCCGGCGAGAGGCCCAGCUGGGCUGGACUCUCUUCUCCCUCUCCCCUAUUUCCUUCUCUCUAAAUAACAGAGAAAUAAAGAGAAAGAAAAGAGAGAAGAGAAGGUUAGAGGAAGAAUUUGGGCAGGAGGACAACUUUUCCAGAGUCAUAAAAAUAUGAGGAAUUUGACAAAAAUGGCCUGACAAUUUUUGGAGGAAGUAAAAUCCACACACGUUGGAUUUAACUCGGUAAGUUCGAAUUUCGAAACUCAUUCAAACGAACUCCAAAUGGGUUGAAAUUAUAGGAGGUGACCCUACACAAUAUAUGUGAUUUAUGGGCAGAUUUGGGACAUUUAUGGGUAAAGUAAAAUUGCCACUCAAUUUUACUAAAAGGCCCCAAAGGAAGAAGGGGAAGUUGAGAAGGAUAAAAGGAAAUUUGAAGAACAGUGCAUAUGUGUUAUGGGUGAUUCCAAAAAUGGAAUAUUUAUAAUAUCUCUCUAAAUAUCGAGAGGAUAUGUUUCAAAGAGAAUCACCAUGUGAAUUCCCUCGAUUUAAAUGGACCGAAGAUCCAUACGGUUUAUUUAGAUGAGUUAUAAAAAGGGUUGGAUGAUGACAUGAUGCAAUGCAAAUGAUGCAAUGAUGAAUGCAUGACAUGAACAAAAAGCAAAACGAAGACAAAAACCCAACCACAAGGAAAUAACAUAUCACAUCUCUGGAAAAGGCAAGAGUUGGAGUUACGGAUAUGGAAAGUUGCAUCCGGGGCGUUACAACACUCCACUACUACGAGAGGAUCUCGUCCCGAGAUCUAGAAUGGCACCGGAGGGAAAACAGAAUUGAAAAAGAAAGGUAAAACUAAGUUGCUUCUUUGACAAACGAGUGAAACCACAAACCUUGAGAGGUUGAGCAAUUUAAAAGAAAGAGUACAAUAGAGAUGAACGAGAUUGCAAACAAUCCAUUAGAAAAGAGGAACAAGGAGUAUUACGAGAAUUUGAAGGUUGCAAAGACAUGAAUCAAGAGUUUAAUGGACAAUGUAGAAUUCGAAACCACUCCGGUUAAAACAAGAUGAGAGAGGAAGAAUUCGGGCAGCACUCUGGUUCAACAUGGAAGGAAUAGAACAUGAACUUGAGAAGAUGGGAUGAUACUUGAUGAAAUCAACAACACACUAUCUCUGGAACUAUUGAAAGAAUGACACAAGGGGUAAGAAAGAUUUUAGACAGCUCUCCAGUAGAGGAAGGAGGGAAAACUUGAUAAAAAUUAGAGAACUCGAAUGAAAACACGACACUCCAGUUAAAUGGAUAAGCACGAAAAAGAACGUGAUCUUGACAAAGUGAUCUGAUGGGUGAAGAGAGCAACAUCACAAAGCCUCCGGGAGAAAGAAUAGAAGAUCGGUCAUUGGAAUAACAGAAUGGUGGGGGAAAUGGCAACUUCUGCCACAAUUGAGCUUGGAAAGCAUCCUUGCAAGAAGGUUAGAAUAGAGUUGUUGGAAGACCAACAACGAAAAGAAUAAGUUUUUAGUGGGCUUAUGGAAACAUCUCAACAUUAUGAGGUGACAACCGGCCACUAACGGAAACAAUUGCUUGCUUGAGAUCGACGAAGAGAUGAACACUUCUUCCAUCAAGAUGGAAAAGAGAUAACUUGGGUCAUUAAUAAGCACCAAAAUAGCAACAUUCCUUAGGGAAGGCUUUAGGUGAAAUCUAUACCAAGAUAACUCCAAAGAAGAGAUUGGUGGAUUUAAAAUACCUCAUUCUUGACAACAUGAAACAUGAAACAUGAAUGAAACUGUCAAAAUGACAUAACACCACCUGAAAAGAUAAUGUCGAAAGAAUUGCACUUCGGAAUGCAAGAUGAAGAAUGCUUGAACUCCUCAAAACAAAACAUGUGUUGAGCACCAUGUUUAUUUUACAGUAAAGCUUGGCGGAUCUUAACUUCGAGAGAAAUCUUGAAGAACAAUUGAAGAAUGAAAGGAAUCCUUGAUGAACCACCAUGUAGAGCCUCAAAGAAGAACUCCGGUAAUAAAAGGAUGAUAAAAAGAAAGAGAAGUUGAAAACACAAGGUGAAUCCUUGCCAUGAUUUAGAUGGAUCUCCGUGAUAAUUAGAGCUUGGAACUCCGGGAAAAAAGAGAAGAUGAAACAAAUGAAACCGAGAAUUUAUUCAUCAUGAACAAACUCCGAAAGAAGGAAUUAAUCACUUGGAUGAAACAAGAAUAAGAAUUAUGUUAUGCGUAUCCUUCACCAAUUUAAAUUGAUGACAAGCAACGGAUUUGGCAUACUACUUAUUCUCGUAGAAAGGAUUAAAGAGAGAUAUAGCGCCAACUUGAGAAGGUCUUCAACGAACCACCGGUAGGAUUGGAACAACAAUUGAAUUGAUAUGAUGAACAAAGAAAGAGAACUCUUGAAUGAACCACCGUAAGAAUUGAAAAUGAACGUAGCAAAGGCACAAUGCACCGGGAAGAAUUGGAAAACGAAUGAAGAUACUUGAGGGUAUUUAGAUACAAAUGAACGAAUAGAUCACGAGCUGAUUAGAUAAUACUUGAAUGAUGCACCGGUAUGAUUUGGAGAACGAGAGCUGAAAGCUUGAAUGAAUAAUACUUAUGAUGGGCUCCGGAUGACAAACUGAGAAGACUCUUGAAUAUCUCCUGAUGGGUGAAAAAGAUUCUCACAAUCGAAAACAAUUAUGAGAGGAUGGCAACAAGCUAGCACCAUGAAUCUUGAAGAGAAUAGAGCAAGAUUAAAGAGAAACUCUUCUUCGGUCUUCAAAUGAUGAGAAUGACAACGAGAAGCACCACCAAGAAUUAUUGAGACACACCGGAAGAAUCAAAAGCGAAGAGGUUGAGCCAACUAUGAAAAGAAUUUGAAAGAUCUUGGAGAAAAGCAUUUGACUGAUGAUAACUCAUUCUUACGUCAAACUUGGAGAAGAAUUUAGGAUAGCUCUGGGAAAAUAGAAGAGUCAGGUAAGAUCCUGGGAAAAGACCUGUGGGUUAGGGCCCACUCAAAAGAAAACAUCGUUGAAAUGAUUUAAAAGAGAUGUUGCACCGGUUGAAUUAAAUGACUUGAAUGAGAUACCAAUCUCGAAAGAACUAGAACGAAUGCAGAGUGGAAACACGAAUCUUCGAGAUAUCUUGAGCACUCCGGAAUAACAAAUAGCGAGAAGUAGAAUGAUAAUGAGGUGCACUGGUAUGAGAAGACAUAGAAAUGAGGAAAAAGGUAUGACCAACAAAACUUGACUUGAAUCCACCGGAGAAGAGAAAGGAAUGAGGAAUGACGAACUAGAAGAACAUCUUCUUGAGAACCACCGGGUAAGAACAUUGACGGAAAAGAAUGGAGAAACUUCACAAAAUAAAAGGAUACUUGGUAAAGAAAUCUUAGUCCUUGAAGAAAAAGGGUGGGAGGGCGGGAAAACAAAGGCAACUUGGAGACGGAUGAAACAAACACCGUUGAGAAGAAAUGAUAAUUGGUCUUGCUGAUGUUGAAGUGAUCGGAUCCACUUGAAGAGAAACACGCCGGUUGAAAAGGAUUGACAUGACAAUCUCGAUUGUCGAGAAGGAUUGGUAUUCACAUUGGAGUAUGAGAACACCAUUUCGGAAAGGUAUGGAAUCAACACUCGACAUUGAAGCAACUCGAAUACCACAACUCAAAACAAAAACAAAGGACUGGCUUGCAGAAUAAGCCGGAACAAAUACAUAUGAUAGAGAUUUACCCAAUCCCAUAUCAUGCAUCUGUCGGAAAGAUAUUCUAGGAGCUACUUGAAUUCCCACCUAUGAAACUCCCGAAAUUUUCCGGUUAUGCAAUCAGGUGUUGGGGAUACAGGGGAAGCAUAAUAUAUCUCACCCAAACUAACAAUCCCUACAUCCAAGCUGUAUCCAUCCGUCGACACAUAACCAAGAAACCUUCGGAAAUCGUGUACCUCAACCUUCGAAAAGCAUCCGUUAUACGAGUCAUGGCAAUACUCCCAUACUCACCUCAGUACUGGGUUAUCGGGGUUAUCUCACCAACAACUGCAUAAAAGAGAUUUUCGAUGUCGGCGCACUAAACUCAGGUGUUCCAGAACUGCAACGAUAAAAUUAUGAUGACAACACCUCAGAGCUCAACUCCCCGGGACACCUCCACUAAAAAAAACCCUGCUGACGGGAGGCACCAAGACAAUGUUGUCAUCAUAAAACCAUCGGAACGAUUCUAAGAUACCCGCGUGAUCCUAAAUUUUUUUUAGUGAAAUUUGAGAAGAGAAGAGUCAAAACUUCUACGUCAGGAGACCUCACCAGAGCGACGAAGGGACUGAGGAGUAAAAAGAAUUCCUAACUCUCUGAUAUAUAUAAUCCUAAAUGACUCAAAACAUUUUUCUAGACACAACUCGGCCGCUAAAAACGAUCAAGCAGUGGGGCUCCUAAGGUCGGGGAUGGCUCUGAUUACCAACUUGUAACGCCCUCGAUGCGGCUAUAUCUCCCACGUGUCGAAGCACGACUUAGAGGCAUAACCGCAUUGAAAGCAAUGUCGCAAGUGAGGUAAUCUUCACACAACCCAUGUAAUACAUAAGGGAAAGAGAUACAUAGUUGGCUUACAAUCGCCACUUCACACAAUUACAUGAAUAAAGCAUUACAUCAUCCAGAUACAAUCAAGGUCCGACUACGGAACCAAAAUAAAAGAAGAACCCCAAUUGCCACAAAGGUCCCCGAUCGACCCCAACUGGGCUCCACUACUGAUCAACUGAAACGAAACAACACAAUGAACAAGAUCUUCAUCGAGCUCCUCCUUGAGCUUGGUUGCGUCACCUGCUCGGUAACAUAGGCACCUGCAAACUGGUUUUG
rnacentral:lncRNA from 1 species